rnacentral:misc_RNA from 1 species
AACGCACCUUGCGCUCCUUGGUAUUCCGAGGAGCAUGCCUGUUUGAGUGUCAUUAAAUUCUCAACCUCCCCAGCUUUUACCGGCCGGGAGAGGAUUGGAUGUGGGGGUUGCGGGCCUCGAUUCUAGAGGUCGGCUCUCCUUAAACGCAUUAGCGGAACGUCUCGCGGGACCGUCACUUGGUGUGAUAAUUAUCUACGCCUCAUGACUGCGAUCGCCUCUGGUUCAGCUUCUAACCGUCCGUUUGCUCGGACAAACCCUUUGACAAUUUGACCUCAAAUCAGGUAGGACUACCCGCUGAACUUAA